AUCGAUGUAAGGCCCGAUCGAUGACUUUAUUUAAGUCUUCUAGUAGAAUACAUAACACUUGCAGCUACCAGCUAGCAUAGCUAGUUGGCAGGGCGCCAUGACGGAUUCCAGGUCACCUUCACUAGAACGUUACCGUACCGCCCAGUAAUAUUCUUCUGAGAUGCUCCGUCGAAGAGCGGAGGGAGCACUGCAACUCCAUUUGCGAUCUCACCGCCGGUAGGGGUUGUGUGGCGAUCGUACAGUUCCGCCCGAAUGCUGAGGGAGUAAUUGGUUGGAACUGCCACCGUCUUUUUCGUCAAUCCAAUAGGUUGCCCAGGCCUUACGUUUAUGUACUCCUCUCUCUUCUUUCGAAAGAGCAGAGUCUGCUCCCCAGAAGGAUAGUUACUAUAAGAAGCAGCAAUCUCUCCGUAAACUUCAGCAGGAUCUUUCCCACCCGCAUUUACGAGCUCAACAGAUAUAGUCGCCUCCACCGCAUCACUCAGCACCGCGUAGCAAGCUGUUGCCGAACCGUGCGCUCCUUUAACAUCACGAUAUAAAAUGCGGUCGAAGACGUUGUUGGCGGUGUCAAAAACAUUCCGCACGAUCGUCCCAUUACUAAUUACCUCAUCGUCCCGACUCGGAGUAGCCUUACUCCGGAGAGAAAGAUUCACAGUGAAGCUAUCGUAAGCCGAGAUAGCUCUACUAGGGCCGGUUAGUAAAAUCUUGCCCCCCGGAGAGAUGGUUUCGGGACUGCCCUUCUGUCGAUCGUACAUGUUCUGAGAACUCAGUCCGUCCACAACCGCGAUGGUGCCGUGGAGCUGGGCAGGGUCCCUGCCACCACCGAUGUUGUCGAUGCGCACCCAGAACACCUCCGCCAUCGGUCGUCCCUGCCGCAACGUCGACGUAUUGUUGUCGUUAGCUGCCGACAACAUGCGCAGGGUCCCAGCUGGCUUUCGAUAGUUGAAGAAUAGCAAGAUUCCGAGUGCAGCAGCCGCUUCCUCAGCUGUCGUUAUUUGCAUGGCAUUGGGUUGCGGGAGCAGAAAGAAACGGGUGGGAUCCGCGUCGGUGCGCAGUAACGCAUUAGAGAGAUUCCCCCAGCCGUGUUCCAGCGCUGUCAUCCAAGCAGGGGGUGGGGAACCGGGCUCAUGAUGUUUAGCCAGAUGGUCGGAGAUGCGACUGAACCUGAUCGACUCGCAUAUCAUUUGAAUCACAACAAUCAAUUGCUUGGCCCUCUCCUGGCGGUUGGUAGUGGAAGCGAGUUGGUUGACAGCAGUUCCGAGCUGCGGCUGGCCGAGGUUUAUGCGAUCCACCGUUUGUCCGGCAGCAUUUUCCAAGUCAUUGUAAUCGCCGUUGAAGCCCAGGAAGUUGGGUCCCGGACCUCUUCCCAACUCUAACCACUGAUCAGCAUUCCACAUUUUGUAGCCGUCCAAGUAAAGGUUACCUCGCCGAAUCCUCAGCGUGAUGCUCCGUGAUUGAGUUUGCAGUACCACAUGGAACCUCUCGAUGGGUUCAGUGCUCUGCUGAGGGGGAAGCACAGGGCGAUUGUGUGAAUAGCUGCCGGAUGCCAAUUUGUUGCGCAAGGAUCCGACGAAUCCCUUGUAAGCCGCCCAUUCACCUGUAACUUUGUCGUCGACCUUAAAAUUGAACUCCAUUGUGUUGUGUUGUGUUGUGUUGUGAUCUGUUCUUAAAGGAAACCUAAGCAAAGAGACAUUUGCUUCCAUAGUUUAUUAUUUAAAUGAGAAAAAUUGAGCUCCAAUGAACAAAAUAGAUGUUCUACCGUAUAACCAGCUCAUCCAGUUGCAUAAUAUAAUUAACUAAGUGCUAAUAUAUAAUAUAAUUAACUAAGUUCCAAUGACGCCCCGUAGGAAACUAUUUUUAUAUUACAGAAAAUCAAAACAAACAUACAAAUAUCUAUAUUAAUUGUAGCAAGGUUGAGAAUUUACAUAUCUUCAAACUUACAACAGUAAUGGCACCGGUGUAUUGUGAUUACUUUAGCACACCAAAUUAAAGUAGCAGCUGCAGAAGCAUAGUAGCACCCCCUCCUAACUAACAAGCUUGUUAUUUUUGGGAUUUUUUCUCAUAUGCUCCUCACUACUAUUCAAAAUUUUCAAAUUUAUCUAUCUAUUGUCAAAGUACCUUUGAAACGCUAAAAAUUCCACUAGUAAAUUUUAGAAUUUUAAAAAAUAAUCUUUAUUUUUUUAAAAAAAAAUAAAUACAGAUAUUUUGAUCCACCAUAGAUAUAUUAGAUAUUUUCAAAAUUUUAGAAAUUUUCUUUAUUUUGCAAGAAGCUAAUUGAACUAAAAGCUAUAGCUAAACUAGUAGGGAAGUGGGAGAAUGCAACAGACUUACCAAAACUACUGCUGUUGCUUCCAAUUCUUUCAACCUCUGUAGAUAGGCCUUGUUGACAGCAUAGCGGUAUUAUCUGUACCUAUAAACAUCAUCUGUCUUUUCUUUAUUUCCGUCUCCUUAGAGACCUUGAUGCCUCACCCAUGUAGCUUAAUUCAUCUUCUGAAUGAAUGAAGCGGGUAGCACGCUACUUUUUUCUCAAAAAAAAAAAUUCUUUCAACCUCUGCCUUACUCUUCACACCAUUCUACUCAUUUAUAGGCAGUGAGGGCGGCUCAGGAGCCUGGAGAGUUGGGUGCGCGCGGUGUCGGCGGGCAUGUAUUUCAUACAAAUUAAACUCUAUACUUAAGAAGAGAUCAGAUGUGCGUGAUUCAUAUAUGGCUGAGAAUCUUAGCUUCAUUUCAGUACGAAAGUUUUAAUACUGAUAAAAAAAUAACUUCCCGAAUAUCUUUGCACGUUACUAAAAUUGUAAUAUUAGUUAGGAAAAUACUUCACAUGCGUUGAUAUUUGUGCACAUGGCUGAAAUUUUAAUAUUGAUAAAAAGUACUUCAUAUGGGUAUCUUUGCUGAUGACUAAAAUUAUAAUAUGGAUAAAAAAAUUAAAAUAGCUUACCGUGAGUGUUUUUGCACAUGGUUAAAAUUUUAAUAUUGAUAAAAAAUAACUUUACAUGAAUUUCUCUGCACAUGGCUUCACGUGCAUGGGUUAUCCUCGAACCAGCUCCUCAUCUUCACCUCUCCAAUUCUCUCUGGCGAGAAAGUCUACUGUGUCGUAUUUGUACCACAUUAUUAAUAAUAAGUCAAUCAUAUCUCUCUUUUUUGAAAGAAUGUACAAUAAAAAUAUUUUUUUAUAAUUAUGGUAGGACAGAUAAAUUAAUCUGGUGCAUUUUAGAAUUUUUUUCUGCCCAUCAGCGUCUCUUCUGCGCCCUCCCCGCUCUCUCAGCUCGGUUGGAAAACACACCACACCACACCACACCACACCAUAGAGGCCUGAUGACGACGAACUCCAUCGUCUCGGUGAUCCGUAUGGUGCUAUCAAGAAAUGGGAUCAGGACGUACUCAGUUGAUCCAUGUAGCUGGAUCAUGGUUACUUGUUCUCCAAUAAAGCUUGUUAUUUUCUUUGCAAGUUUUUAUGCAUACUCUACAUAUGUUCUACUGGAGAUUUUAUCCUGGGUUAAUGGUAUGGAAAAAAAAAUAGUAAGGCAGAGAAGUAUUGAUUGAAAGUUACGUAUAUUCAAAUUUAUCUGGCUCACUCUCUCCGAGCGAAGAGAAUAUGACCAAACUUUGAAGGUCCGUAACUCCGUAAUUUUCUAAAUUAUAUUCAAAAUUUCUCCUUAGUUUUGAUAUAAGUAUUUUUUUAUCAAAAUUUAAAUAAAUUUAAAUAGUUUAAAAAAUUUUCUAUCAAAAUUUGAAUAAUUUUAGAUUUUCUAUACCGUUAAACCACAAACUCGCUACAGUAGUUCUUAAAAAUUAACAGUUUUGAAAUUAAUUUUGAAAUUAUUUAGUCAUAAAGUAAACUAUGUCAAAAGAAUAUUUAAAAUUUUAUUUUUAAAAAUUUCAAAUAUUUUAGAUCAGUUUCAAAUAUUUUAUUAGUUUUUUUUAGCUACUAGAAUUAUCCUAUAUUUUAAAUCAGUUUCAAAUUUAUCUGGCCUUCAUACUCAUAAGUUGUUUUCGAUAAUAAAGCUUCCGACGACGAUCCAUACCGUUAAAUAUUAUCUAGAGUAUUUAAAAUUUUUAGAAAUCAAAUUUUAUAAUUUAAAAUUUUUAUUCAAAAUUUAAAUCUAAAUUUGACCUUACAAUUCGAAUUUAAAAUUUGAAUAUAUAAUUCAAAUUUAAGGUCAAAAUCAAAUUUUAAUUUAAAACUAUAAAUUAAAAUUUACGAAAUUAUUUCAAAUUUCAAUUUUAAAUUUGGAAUUAUAAUUUAACUAAUGAAUUUAUAUUAUUUAUGUUUGAAUUCAAGUAAUUAUUAGUGGGGGAAAAAACCGUUUCUCAAUUACUCCGAAAUCAAAGUUCACUGGCCAUCAUGAAGGUGAGAGUCAUUUUGAGGAAUUCCAAUUUUUUCGGAAUAGGAAUUGCCAAUUCCUCCAGCUAAAUACUAACAAUGCGAAUAACUUAUUUCGAUUCUUGUUCCAAGUCUUAAAUAUUUCAAACCAAACAUGCCCUAAAGCGCUAAUAUAUAAUGCAAUUUACCAAGUGCAAAUAACGCCCCAUAGGGAACUAUUUUUAUAUUAUAGAAAUCAAAACAAACAUACAAAUAUUUAUAUUGCAGCAAACUUAAAAAUUUACAUACCUUCAAACAUGACAACACUAGUAGCACCGGUGUUCCAGUGAUUACUUCAGCACACCGAUGUAGUAGCAGCUGAAAAUUAAAAAUAGUAGCACACUCUCCAACUUACAAGCCUUUUAUUUUAUGAGUUUUUGCUUAUAUACUCCUGACUACUAUUCAAGGUUUUUCAAUUUUAUCUUUUUAUUUUUUAAAUUUUAAAAAUUUUGAGAACUAUAUUGAGUAUUAUUUUUUUAUUUUGUAAGUAAAGUUUUAAGUGUCUGUCGGCACGGACCAUAUCCAUCAUGCCGUACUGUGCCAACAAGAUAUCGGCACGAUACAGACCCCGUGCCGAUGGUACAGCUCAAAACCCUUUAUUUUUUAAAUUAGUAAGUAAUUUUUUCAAUAAAAUUCAAAAAAUAUGAAAAAAAGACAUAAUAAAUAGUUCGAAUGAAAUUAUCUAAUUAGACAGUCAAGUUAGACAUAUGUUUCAUGUACAUUUUUUUUUUAGAGAAAAAAUAGCACGUUAUCCGUUUCAUUCAUUAAGUGAUUUGAAUAUAGCAUACAAGAUGAAAAUAGUCUAAGGUCUCCUGAAAAAGGCGAGAAAAAAACAGGCCAGGAGGAUAAAAAAAGAGUAAGGAAAAAGAAAAAGAGAAAGGUGUUUCAUAUACAUUAAACUCAAACGGUUUAUGGUUGAGCCGUUAGCUUCACUUCCGUACAGAAGUUUUAAUGCUAAUGGAAAAUAACUUCACAUGAUACCGUUGCAUGAGGCUAAAAAAUUAAUAUUGAUAAAAACUGCUUCAUAUACUAAGUAUCUUUGUACAUGGCUAAAAUUUUAAUAUAGAUAAAAAAUAGUUUCACAUGAAUUUUUUUUUUUUUUUUGAGAAAUAGAUAGCACGCUAUUCAUUUUGUUUAUUUUAUUUAGAAAUAAACUUGCUGAAAAUAUGAAUCAACUAGGAUUCAAACUUGAGUCUCAAAUACCAAUUAUCAAAUCUUUUGCCACUUACUCUAGGAACAGUCGGUCACAUGCUAAAAUUUUAAUUUUGAUAAAAAAUAGCUUCACGUAGGUAUCUUGACACAUGACUAAAAUUUAAAUAUUAAUAAAAGAACAACUUUAUUAUAUGAAUAUCGAUCUUUGCAAAUGGCUCGACAUGGGUUGUCCUCGAACCAGCUCCUCAUCUUCACCUCUCCAUCUCGUCAGCGCAUGCACAAUUAAUUCCACUGUUCCUCUCUCUUUCUCUUACUAUGCCCAUCGCCGUCUCUUCCGCUCCCUCCCCGCUCUCUCAGCUCAAUGGAAGGGGUUGGAAACCAUACCACACCACACCAUACCAUGGAGACCUGAUGGCGACGAACCCAUCGUCGGUGAUCCUUACGGUGCUAUCAAGAAAUGGGACCACGACUGAUCAGUUGAUCCAUGUAGCUGGACUAUGGUUACUUGCUCUCCAAUAAAGUUGGUUGUGUUUUUUUGCAAGUUUUUAUGCAUACUAGAAUUUCUUGUACCCUUAACUAGAAUUUCUUAUCUUUAUUCAUCCAUGAUGGAUGUUGUUUUAGCCAUGUCAAACGCGUGUUGCUUCUCCAUUCAAUUUACUUUACGACUUUUCUUAUUUUGCUCAAAAAAACAAAAAGGUUUAGAAGAAAAAGAAGUGAAAGAAGUGGUUGUAACAUUAAUGGUGGACUGAGUUGAAUUUUAAAGAGAAAAAAAAUAAUCAUUAAAGAAAAAUUGAGACAUUUUUGCACAAUUAUAACAGUUGAAAUUCUUGAAGGAGCAUAUUUGUGAUGUCAAAAUUGACAUUUCAUUUAUCUGCUGUUAAAAACAGUUCUCUAAUAGUAACAAAUCAAAGAGACAAAUAUAAAUAUUACUGAACUUUUGUAGGAGUAACAUAAAAAAGUUAAACUUUAUAGGAAUAUAUUUGCAGCUCGAUAUGUUUACUGAAAGCUGCAUACAAUUAAACCUAAAUAAUAAUAUUAUAUUAAUAUAUUAUAUUUUAUUAUUGGUGUCUAUAUUACAUUCAUAUUCUUAUUUUUAAGAAGCUAUCAAGCCAUCGUAUCCGAGGCGCCUAGACUUACCUAUGAAAAAAUUAAAGUGUUAUUUUCUUUGGCCUACAUCUAGUUUUCUUCUCAUAAAGCAACAAACUGGAAAAUUCUAGCCAUAUCUUUAGUGCCCAUAAAUGGCUUUCACUUUAGGCAUGAAUAAUAUAUGAAUAGUCGCAUUAUUAUCGCGGUUCUUGUGAUCGUUUUCUCCUUCCUCUUUCCUUCCUUUCUCUUAUGUCGCUUUCUUAGCGAGAUUUUAACGCAGGUUAGGUUUGGAAAAUUCUAAUGUUAUCACGAGUAUUAGGGGCCCAGAUUCGGAAGAUGUGACUAAAUUAGUCUUAGUUUGAAUGCCGUGGCAAUGGAUGCACAGUAGUCUUUGCUUCAACGAGAAACUAAUCUUGUGGUUAGGGUUUAAUAUGCUUAUUCUAUUUUUCUCCUCCUUGGAUCAUCUCGAUCUUUCACUUAGUUUGAACAUCAAAAUAUAAAGCCAUUUAAUGUAUUAUUAAGCAUAAUCAACUUAUGAGUUAACUUAAAAAAUGUUUUAUUUUACUAUUAUGUGAUUUUCUCUUUACAUUAUUAUGAAGACCUGCUGUUAAUUAAAUAGGGUAUAAAAAUUCAAUAAGUAAAAAUGCUGUAAGUUAUAAAUCACAAGAAUUAUAUAUAUAUAUAUAUAUAUAUAUAUANUAUAUAUAUAUAUAUAUAUAUAUAUAUAUAUAUAUAUAUAUAUAUAUAUAUAUAUAUAUAUCAGAAUGGUAAAAAUGCUACUGUGAAUGGUAAAAUAUAUCAUUUAUUUACAAACCAGAGAAAGCAGUGAGAUUUUUACACAUAACAAGAGUCGCUAGCUUUCAUAGUCAUGCAGCAUAUAUAUAAUUAAUAUUUUUAACGGAACGAUCGAUGUAAGGUCCGAUAGAUGACUUUAUUUAAGCAUUCUAGUAGAAUUAAUACAUAACACUUGCAGCUACCAGCCAGCAUAGCUAGUUGGCAGGGCGCCAUGACGGAUUCCAGGCCACCUUCACUAGAACGUUACCAUACUGCCCAGUAAUAUUCAUCUGAGAUGCUCCGUCGAAGAGCGGAGGGAACACUGCAACUCCAUUCACAAUCUGACGGCCGGCAGAGGUUGUGUGGCGAUCGUACAGUUCCGCCCGAACACCGAGGGAGUGACUGGUCGGAACUGCCACCGUCUUUUUCGUCAAUCCAAUACGUUGCCCAGGCCUUACAUUUAUGUGCUCCUCUCUCUUCUUACGGAAGAGCAGAGUCUGCUGCCCAGAAGGAUAAUUGCUGUAAGAAGCAGCAAUCUCGCCGUAAACUUGAGCAGGAUCUUUCCCACCCGCGUUUACGAGCUCGACAGAUAUAGUCGCCUCCACCGCAUCACUCAGCACCGCGUAGCAAGCUGUCGCCGAACCGUGCGCUCCUUUGACAUCAGCAUACAAAAUCCUGUCGAAGACGUUGUUGGCGGUGUCGAAAACAUUCCAUAUGAUCGAACCGUUGCUUACUUCAUCAUCCUGACUCGGAGCAGCCUUAUUCUGGAGGGAAAGAUCCACAGCGAAGCUAUCGAAAGCCGAGAUAGCUCUGUUAGGGCCGGUCAGUAAAAUGUUGCCUCCCGGAGAGAUGGUUUCGGGACUGCCCUUUUGUCGAUCGUACAUGUUCUGAGAACCCAGUCCGUCCACAACCGCGAUGGUGCCGUGGAGCUGGGCAGGGUCCCUGCCACCACCGAUGUUGUCGAUGCGCACCCAGAACACCUCCGCCAUCGGUCGUCCCUGCCGCAACGUCGACGUAUUGUUGUCGUUAGCUGCCGACAACAUGCGCAGGGUCCCAGCUGGCUUUCGGUAGUUGAAGAAUAGCAAGAUUCCGAGUGCAGCAGCCGCAUCCUCAGCUGUCCUUAUUUGCAUGGCAUUGGGUUGCGGGAGCCGAAAGAAAUGGGUGGGAUCCGCGUCGGCGCGUAGUAAUGCAUCAGAAAGAUUCCCCCAGCCGUGUACCAGUGCUAUCAUCCAAGCAGGGGGUGGGGCACCCGGGUAAUAAUGUUUAGCAAGAUGGUCGGAGAUACGACUAAAUCUGAUCGACUCGCAGAUCAUUUGAAUCACAACAAUCAAUUGCUUGGCCCUCUCCUGGCGGUUGGUAGUGGAAGCGAGUUGGUUGACAGCAGUUCCGAGCUGCGGCUGGCCGAGGUUUAUGCGAUCCAUCGCUUGCCCGGCGGCAUUUUCCAAGUCAUUGUAAUCGCCGUUGAAGCCCAGGAAGUUGGGUCCCGGACCUCUUCCCAACUCUAACCACUGAUCAGCAUUCCACAUUUUGUAGCCGUCCAAGUAAAGGUUACCUCGCCGAAUCCUCAGCGUGAUGCUCCGUGAUUGAGUUUGCAGUUCCACAUGGAAUCUCUCGACUGGGUGAAUCUGCUGAGGGGGAAGCACAGGGCGAUUGUGUGAAUAGCUAGAUGCCAAUUUGUUGCGCAAGGAUUCAAUGAAUCCCUUGUAAGCCGCCCAUUCCCCGCUAACUUUGUCGUCCACCUUAAACUUGAACUCCAUUAUCUUGUGUUUUCAAAGAAAACCUAGGCAAAAAGACAUAUUUGCUUCCAUACUUUAUUAUUAUCGAAAUAAAAGAUCUUGCGCUCCAAAGAGCAAAAUAGACAUUCCACUGUAUAACCACGGACACAAUGAAAAGUGUUAAUUUUUUUUUUUCAAUUAUUCACCCAUAAAAAUGUACGGAGACCCCUCAACUAUGGGUAAUUUUGAAAUCACCCCUUCACCUCAAUCUUUCCUUUAUUUUAUUAGUUCUUUCUUAACUUUUAAUUUUUUAGACUUGAGUAAUUUUAAUCAAAUAACUUAGAUAUUUUACAAACUUAUUGGUAAUUAUAUCAAAAUUAAUAAUUUUUAACUAUUUUUAGCAACUAAAAUUUAAAAUAGUUAAACUAAUAGUUGAUAAAUCUAUUCGAUUUAACAAAAAAUUUAACUAAUUUUACUAUAAUAAUUCAAAUAAAAAAAUUAUAAAUUAGAAAGUUCUAAUAAAAAAUUGAAGUUGGCAUCUAUUUCAGAAUAGUUAUAGAUUAGGGAGCCUUCAGACAUGUUUACUGUAGGCUUCCAGAUGAAGACUAUUCCUUAGAUUUAAUGCACCAUGUAAUCUGUAGACCGCUCAAUUUCAUUCCUUUCUCUUCUAUUUUGACUUUCAAUCCCCUCACCACUUGUGAUUAUUUACACAAAAAAGUUUUAAAUAUUUAGCUAUUAAAUGAAAAUUUAAAUUUAAAAUAUUUAUCAUAAAAUAUUGUGUUUGGUGUACGACUUAAGAAUACACCGGGUGUGAACAUGUAUAAAUAUACAAUUUCUUCUCUCUCCUGGUCACAUUCUACUGAGAAGGUUCACCAACUUAGAAAAAACCUUAUGCUAGGUGCCUCUGAUGUUUACACCCCGGCCAUUUUUCAAUCCUUCAUUCUAUAUAAAAUUUCAAUCUAACGAAUACACCUGGUGUGGGCACUAAUUUUUACGGCUCAUGCUGUUGGCUUAAAUCAGCAGCAUUCUAUCAAGGAGGUUAUGUUGAGUCGAGUUAUAUUCGAAAUAACGUGAAGCUGGACGGGCCGAGUAAUGUUCGAAGUGGCGUGAGGCUGAUUGGACCGAGUCACAAGCGAAACCCGUGGGCACUGUAUUUGAAAAAUUUAGAUAAAUUAGUUGCGUAUUUCUAAUUGUUCGUGUUUUAGGGUUAAUGAUUAGCGCCAACGAUCCGACACAUGCAACCUUCUUUGAAAACAAAUCCAAUUUAAUCUUUCUUUUUUAUACCGGUUUACUCUCCGUUAGUAUUCCGGUAAAGCUCUUACUUAAAUACCCUUAAUUACUUUUCAAAAUUUUUAAAUUUAUUUUUCUAUUUCCAAAAUAUCCUUGUAAACUAAGUGCUAAUAUAUAAUAUAAUUAACUAAGUUCUAAUAACGCCCCAUAUGGAACUAUUUUUAUAUUAUAGAAAUCAAAACAAACAUACAAAUAUUUAUAUUGCAGCAAACUUGAAAAUUUACAUACCUUCAAACAUGACAACACUAGUAGCGCGGGUGUUCCAGUGAUUACUUCAACACACACCGAUGUAGCAGCAGCCGAAAAAUAGUAGCACACUCUCCAACUUACAGGCUUUUUAUUUUAUGAGUUUUUGCUUAUAUAUUUCGUACUAUUAUUCAAGAUUUUUUAAUUUUAUCUUUUUUUAUUUCCAAAAUAUUUUUGCAAACUCUAAAAUUUAUUAGUAAAUCCUAAAAUUUUGAAGAUAUUUAAAAAAAAUUGAAAAAUUAAUAAAAACGCUUUGAUCCGAUCCACCAGACAUACAUUAGAUAUUUUAAAAUUUUCAAAAAGUAUAUAUUGAGUAUUAUUCCUUUAUUUUGCAAGAAGCUAAUUGAACUUAAAACUAGAGCCAAACUACUUGGGAAGUGGGAGAACUAGAAAAGGCAGCGGAGGACUUACCAAAACUAGUGCUGUUGCAUGUUUCUAACUCUUCCGGCCUUCUGCCUUGCCGUUCACAUCCUCCCACUACUUAUUUGUAGGCGGUGGGGCAGGGGAGACUGGAGUUGGUCAGGUGCUGACGUAAGUUGGAUGAAGUCAAGGAAGCUUCGAGCUGCUUAUACUGUAGUUGAAAAAUGUGAAUUAACUAGGAUUCGAAUUUGGAUCUCGGAUACCAACCAUCAAGUCCUUUGCUACUUGCUCUAGGGACGGUCGGUGAGCUGCUUAUACUAUAGAAAUUAAGAAAAGUGUGGUACAGGUCUAGCUAACAAAAUCCUUCCGAUGAAAUUAUCUAAUUAGAAAGAUUAGCAUGCUAUUCAUUAUCUUUAUUUUAUUUAUAAAUAAAUUUAGUUGAAAAUAUGAAUCAAUUAGGAUUCGAAUUUGAGUCUCGGGUACCAACCACCAAGUCAUUUUGUCAUUUGCGCUAUGCACGGCCGGUGUGUUUCAUAUGUAUUAAUAUAAAAUCUAAUAUAUAUUAGAAAAGAAAUCAAAUGCGUUUAUGAUUGGGCCGUCAACUUCACUUCCGUACAAAUACUUUAAUAAUGCUAAUGAAAAGUAACUUCACAUGGAUAUCUUUAAACGGGCAAAAAUUUUAUGAACAUCAUUUCCAAACUAAAAAUUUGAGGACAACGCGGAUGGCCGCCGCGUUGCUGCGCGCGUCCAUCCUCGCACUCCCCUAUAAAGUAAAAGAAAAGCGUGGGCCUCAAUUUUUAAAAAGAGAGAGAAAGAAUUUGAUGAAGAGGAAGGGAGGGCGAGAAUGAGCGUGCGCCGCCCACGUGGCGCUCAUCCACAUCAUCUCCAAACUUUUAGUGAGAGAAGGAUAUCCAUACAAUUUUUACCCAUUGGUAUGAGGCUAAAAAUUUAAUAUUGAUAAAAAUUGCUUCACAUAAGUAUCUCCAUAGGUGGCUAAAAUUUUAAUAUAAAUAAAAAAUGGUCUCACAUGAAUAUUUUUUGCCAUGCUGAAAUUUUUAUCUUGAUUAAAAAAAUAGCUUCACAUAGGUAUCUUUGCACAUGACUAAAAUUUUAAUAUUGAUAAAAAAAAUAACUUUUUUAUAUGAAUACCUUUGCACGUUACUCCACAUGGAUUGUCCUCGAACCAGCUCCUCAUCUUCACCUCUCCCGCACCCGCUCCUUUCCCCUUCUCUCCCUCUAAUUUUUUGUGGGCGCGCACAACCCGCUUUUUUCUUUUUUCUUUUUUUUUUUUGGUUUAUGGUCCUAACUUUGAAGGGUAUGAUUAAGGACUCUCUCAAGGAUCCUUAUGGUGCUAUCAAGAAAUAGGAUGUUGAUCCAUCAAUAAAGUUGGUUGUUUUUUUUGCAAGUUUUUAUGCAUAAUCUAUAUAGAUGCGUUUGGUUUGGGUAUAAAUAAGAACUGUUUAUUUCAGUAAUAAAUACAAGUUCAGGUAUAAAUACCAAUUUUACGUUUGGGUGAAAAUUGGGUUGUUACUAGGAAUAAGAUAGAUAGUAUUUGAAUGAUUAGAUUGGAAAAAAAAAAAAAUAAGAAUUAUAAUUUUAAAUUAAAAUUAUUUUAUUUAAUUAAUUAAGGCCAAUUUGCAUAAAAAAUUCACUAGUUUUGAGCUUUUGCAAAAGUGGAUCACCUUUUUUGUUUUUGCAGUUACGGUCCGAUUUUUCAGCAAACUGACCAAAAUACCUUAUACCUUUUUUUCUCUCCUCUUUUUUUUCUCUCGUUCUUUUUUUUCUUUCUCUUCCCAGAGAGCGACGGAGGCAGAGGCGGAGGCGGAGGCGGCCCGCUUCGGUUUUGUCCGGCGCAUCCUUACCCUCGCCUGCGCACCCCCGCCUUCUUCGCCUCCGACGCCACCGAGACCGCGCUACGAUUUUUUUUUUCCCCUCUCCGACCCUCCUGCACCGCCUCCGACGAUGACGCCUAUCUCACUCUUUCUCGCCCUUCUCGUCCUUUCUCUCUCUCUCCUCCUUCGCCUCCUCCGCCGCCUCCGACGACGACUCCUCUCCGCUGACAUCGGCGCCGUGGAGGUCGCUGUGACACGGCAGCCUCGAAGCGAGGGGUCUUUAACGGUGUCGUCGCCGGCGCCGUGGUCGUUGGCGGAAAGGUGUGACAAAAAAAAAUUAUAGAAGAGGAAGAAGAAAAAAUAAAAACAAAAAAUUAUAUAAGAAGGAAGAAGAUGAUAAAAUUACACUGUUAAAAUAAGAUUACACUAUUUUAAAAUAAAUUUAUACUAUUUUAAUGAAAAUUGUACUAUUUGAUACAGAAAUUACACUCUUUUGGAAUGGAUUUUACACUCUUAAGGCUAACGUUGUACUAUUUAGAAAAAUUUUGCACUAUUUCUUUCCUUUUCUUUUUCUCUUUCUCUUUUUCUUCUUCUUCUUCCGCUGCUGCCUCCUGCCCGACCCGUGAAGGCGCGGUGAGGGCUAUUGCCGAGUUCGAGGAGGCUCCUGACAACCAAAAGGGACAUCCUCGAGCUCGGAGAUAGCCCCCACCGCGCCUUCCCGGGCCGGACGGGAGGCAGCAGCGGAAGAAGAAGAAUAAGAGAAAGAGAAAAUGAAAAGAAAAAGAAAGUGCAAAAUUCUCCUAAAUAGUGCAACGUUAGUUUUAAGAGUGUAAAAUUCAUUUCAAAAGAGUGUAAUUUUAUAUAUCAAAUAGUGCAAUUUUCAUUAAAACAGUGCAAAUUUAUUUUAAAACAGUGUAAUCUUAUUUUAACAGUGCAAUUUCAUCAUCUUUUUUUUUCUUAUAUAAUUUUUUGUCUUUAUUUUUUUUUUUCUUUCUCUUCUUUUUUUUUUCUGUCAUGCAUCUCAGCCAAUGGCCACGGCGCCGGCGACUACGCAGCUAAAGAGCCCCCGUUCCGAAGCUGCGGCGCCCAGCGACCUCCGCGGCGCCGAUGUCCGCAGAGAGGCGUCGUCGUCGGAGGUGGCGAAGGAGGAUGGAGAGGGAAAGGGCGAGAAGGGAGAGAGAGAAUGAGAUAGGCAUGGUCGGAGGCGGUAAAGGAAGGUCGGAGAGAGGAAAAAAAGGCGGGGGGGAUGAGCGGGCGAGGGUAAGGAUGCGCCGGACAAAACCGAAGCGGGCCGCCUCCUCCUCCGCCUCUGCCUUCGCCGCUCUCUGCGAAGAGAAAGAAAAAAAGAACAAGAGAAAAAAAAAAGAGGAGAGAGAAAAAAGUAUAAGGAUAUUUUGGUUAGCUUGCUGAAAAAUCGGACUGAAUCUGCAAAAGCGAAAAAAGUGGCCCACUUUUGCAAAAGCCCAAAACUAGUGGAUUUUUUAUGCAAAUUGGUCAAUAAUAAAUUAUAAAGAAUUAUAAAUAAUUAUAAAUUAUAAAUUAAUUAAUAAAAAUUAAUUAGAUAAUAAAUUAUAAUUAAAAAUACUAAUAAUUAGAAAUUAUAAAUUAAUUAAUAAUAAAUUAAUAAAUUAAUAAUUAAUAAUAAAUAAUUAUAAAUAAUAAAUUAUUAAUUAAUAAUAAAAUAAAUAAUAAAUUAUUAAUUAAUAAUAACUAAUAAAUUAUUAAUAAUUAUACAUAAUAAAUUAUUACUAAUUAUAAAUUAUCAAUUAAUUAAUUAACUAAUUAAUAAUAAAAUUGUUAAUUAAUUAAUUAUUAAUAAUUAUAAAUAAUUAAUUAUAAAUGAUUAUAAAUUACAAAUUAACUAACUGAUAUUAAAUUAAUUAAUUAAAUAAUUAUUAAUAUUAAUAAAUUAAAUAACUAUUAAUUAUAAUUAAUUAAUAGUAAAUUAAUUAAUUAAGAAUAAAUUAACAAUAAAUUAAUUAUUUAUAAAUUAAUAAAUUAAUUAACAAAUUAAUUAAUUAAUUAAUUUAUUAUUUAAGCAAUACAUAACGAUUUAAAUAUGUUAAUUAAAUUAAUUAAUUAUUUAAUAUCAUAAUUAAAAUUAUUUUUAGACUUUAAUUAACUUUGUUUUCACUUGAGAACAAACUUGUUCCAGAAAAAAAAAAAGUGGAACAGCAGUUCCAGCCUUAUACCGGCUUAUUUCAGAAACCUGAGAACUACUGUUCUCGGAUACCAAACACACCGUUUGGAAACAAAGGGGGGAACAAGGACUUAUUCCCCCUUGUUUCUGAACCAAACGCUAUCUAUAUGUUCUACUGGAGAUUUUAUCCUCGGUUAAUGGUAUAGAAUGGUAAGACAGAGAAGUAUUUUUUUUAGAAAACAAAAGUAAGGCAGAGAAGUAUGGAAAUGUGAAUUAAUUAUGAUUCAAAUUUGAGGUCUCGGAUACCAACUACCAAGCUAUUUGCCACUUGUGCUAAGGACGAUUAGUAAGACAGAGAAGUAUUGAUUGAAAGUUACGUACAUUCAAAUUUAUGUGGCUCACUCUCUUCUAGCGAAGAGAAUAUGACCAAGCUUGAAGGUCUAUAACUCUGUAAUUUUCUUACUUUUAUUCAAAAUUCUCCUUAGUUUUGAUAUAAGCAUUUUUACAAAAUUCGAUAAAUUUAAAUAGUUUAAAAAAUUUUUAUCAAAAGUUGAAUAAUUUUAUAUUUUCUAUACCGUUAAACCACAAACUCGCUAUAGUAGUUAUUAAAAAUUAACAAUUUUGAAAUUAUUUAGUCAUAAAGUAAACUAUAUCAAAAUAAUAUAAAGUUUUGUUUUUAAAAAUUUUAAAUAUUUUAGAUCAGUUUCAAAUAUUUUAUUAGUUUCUUUUAGCUACUAGAAUUAUCCUAUAUUUUAGGGUCAAAUGUUGGUGUAUCCUUCAUAUAUAACUAAUAUAUAUUUCUUUGAAAUUUAAGUCAACUUGUAUAUAUACGUAGCUCUCCACAUUUCUAAAACCUUACAAAAAUAUCCUUUCUCUUUAAUCAAAGUUGUUGAAGUUCCUUUAGCUUCCUCUCUUCUCUCUUCUCUCUUCUCUCUUUUUUGUUCUUUUUCUUUCUUUUUUUUCUUUUCUUCAUCUAGAAUUUUUUUUUUAUUUCCAAGCAGGGUGAUUAUUUUAUUUUAUCUUUUCCAUAGCUUUAUGGUUUAUAGAAUUAUUUUUUUAAUAGAAUAGAAGAUAAAAUUUCACAAAAUAUUCUCUUUUCAAUGCAUAAUAAUUUGAAAUCGGAUAGAAAAGAGUGAUGUAGUCAAUCAGUACUCGGAUGGGAAGCUAAAGAAAAUUGAACGAAAAUUAAUAAAAAUUUAAUUAAAAGAAUACUUUUCUAAGGUAUCAGAAUUUGGAUGAAUAUAUAAGUUGGCUUAAAUUUUGGAGUGAUAUAAAAGUUAUAUUUAAACUUUAGAAAAGUACACUAGCAUUUAAUUCUGUAUUUGAGAAAGUUUCUUUUAGCAUCUAUAAUUACCAUUCGAUUUUAUCAGUCUCCUAAAAAGUUGCAAUAAUCGAUCGGAAGCAUGUGAGUAUAUAUAGUAUUUUUCUCCUAUUGCAGAUAUAUUAUUAAUUUAUUUAAAUUAUUAGUUCCAAUAUUGACUCUAUUCAUAUCAGAUUGAUAGGAUUAUUAGGGGCAAUGCUAAGUACAUGAAGCUAUGUAAACGCCGUCCAAAUUGUCUAUGAGGUGUAGUUACCAUUUCUUAGUUUUUAGGGAAAACUUCAAAAACCCCCCCCUGUGGUUUCAUGCAUUCUCACUUUACUAUCCUGUGGUUUAAAACGUAUCAAUUUGCCCCCCUGUGGUUUCAUUUUUAUUUUUUCGGAAGCUUUUUCGUUAACAUUUCGUUAAAUUAUAUACAAAAAACUUCAGAUAACCAUCUAUAUUUAUCGAAUAUUCACUUUAGUAUCCUUUAAUUUUAACUUUGUCACUGAUUUAAAAAAAAAAUAAUAAUAAAAUUGAUAACAAAAAGAGAAAAACGAAACCACAUGGGGGCAAAUUGAUACGUUUUAAACCACAGGGUACUAAAGUGAGAAAGCACGAAACCACAGGGGGGGUUUUUGAAGUUUUCCCUAGUUUUUAAAACAUAAUCUCUAUGCGCAAAUGGAUGGUAUAAUGUUCGCAGCCCAUACAUCACAUUGGGGAAUCAGGCGAAGAAGACAAAUAAGCAACAGUGAUUCUUUUCCUCUUAGUUUUUUUAAAGGGACAAUUAUUUAUAUAUUUCUGAAAAGUUUCUGUUUUUUCGAUUUAUCCCUCUUAAAAGGCUAAUAUGGAAAAUACCCUUACUACGGUCCAACCUAUUUCUAAUAUACCCAUAGUGUUAAAAUAUGUUAAUUAAUUCUGUUAUUUCUGUAAAAUUACUAUUUUGUCCUUUCAAAUAUACCCUUUCACCAUCAUUGUCUUUUUUAUUUGCUCUUAAAGUCGUGACACAAAAAGUAUUUUGACUUUUAGUCUUUUCUAAUAUACCCCUCUACCGUCACCAACAUUUCUUAUUUGCCCUUAAACUAAGUGUAAAAUUGGCAUAUUAAUUUUUUUUAACUGUGCUAAAUAUUUAACUCACGUUUAACCUAAAUUAACUUAACAGGAGAUAACUGUAGGGAUAUUUUACAGUUGAGUAGACUUUUCUUCAAACGUAUGAGGGGUAUACAAAAGAAUAGAUGUAGACUUUUCUUCAAACGUAGCUCUCCACAUUUCUAAAUAUUUAGCACAGUUAAAAGCAACCAUAUUUAACUUAACCCAAAAGAAAAGAUGUAGACUUUUCUUCAACAUUUAAUCAGCCAGUCAGACUGCAGACCACGUGCAGCAAUUUCUUAAUCUGCCAAUCCCAAAAAUCUGACAUUUGGCCACUCUUUUUCUCAGCAAUUUUUAAAACAUUUUUUUUUAAUUUUAUUUUCAUUGGAAGCUAUACAAGUUAUUCAAACGACAUGAAAAUUUGAAACAAGAUGAAAAUUGUUUGUUCAGGGCUUUGCUGCAACUUAAGGGGUUCGCAAAUUUCUUCCCGACACAGUACUGCAGCAGCAUAUAGGAAAGAUGAAGAAACGUGAAAUUAGCUACUCAAAUCAAAUUGCCCCGGACACCUAAUGAACCAAUAGAAUAUACACUUUCAUGCAAUCACAACCAACGGGAAUCCGCGAUUAAAACUCCUCUGUAAAGCAAUCAACAAAGAUUGAUACAUACCGACCGUCCUUAGUACAAGCGGCAAAGGGCUUGGCGUUCGAGGUCCCAAGUUCGAAUUCCAGUUGAUUGAUAUUUUCAACUAAGCUUAUUUAUAAAAAAAUAAACGAAGUGAGUAAAAUGCUAUCUUUCUCUUAAAAAAAUAUGUGCCCACACAUCUGGGUUGGAGAACCAAUUCGCGCCAAGCUCACAAAUUGAUCAACCUCGAUAGCUCUGCCAACUUGGUUCUUUUUUUUUUUUUUUUUCAGUUUCUUUCACUAAUUCGAGGUGAACACAAGUAGACCUUAUUCAGGCUCGAAAUUAAUUCGAGCCAGCUUGAAUUCGGCUCGAAUUCCAUCAUGUUCGGCUCGUUUGCUCCCCUACUUGCGAUAUGCAUUAGAAUUCUUCUUUUAAUAGGAAAAAGAUAUGUUUUCUUUUUAAGCUAUUACUUCCGUAGAAUAUUGAAAAUUUGAGUACGCAGUACAUAUAUAUAUAACUGGGGAAAAUUGAAACCUCAACUAAUGAAAACAAAACGAAGACCAAGUAAUUGUGGAUUAACCUAGAUAUAAUUCUGCUCAUUCUUCUUCUUCUUCUUUAUCCGAUAAUCGCACUUCUUAUUUUAGAAUUGCUGAGGGGUUUAAAUUCUACCUAUUUCCAAAUAUAUAUCAAGAGGCCGAUUGAAAGAAGCUAUGGAGCGCGAGCCGUAACUAGACUCCAACUUGGAAAAUCGAACGGGUCUCCAAUAAAAAUCGGAUCCACCAAAUUAACAAAUCCAUAUACAAGGAGCUUCGCAACAUCAGCCAGGCUGAAAUUUUUACACACAUAAUUUUUGGACGGCAACAUCAACCGAAUUGAAGCCGAUAAUUCAUGGCACAUGAAUAAGAAGUCAAGGGACUAAAAUAGCAAAUAAGGUUUGAUGCGACUGAGUUUAUUUAUCAUUAUUAACCCAUGCAAUGCACGAGAUAUAACCUUUUUUUCUUUUUUUCUUUUUUCGAAAAAUAGAUAGCAAGCUACCUGCUUCAUUCAUUAAGUAAAAUAAACGAAACGUACAUGAUGGAGAGAGACAGCUAGAGCCUCCUGAAAGAGCCGAAAAAAUACAAGAUCGAUACAAGCUAAGAUAUAACCAUAUAUUACAUAUGAUAAAGUUCGCUUUUAUUGUCAUACAUCCAUACGCAUAUAUAAUAUUUUUAACAGAAUGAUACGAGUUUCGGUCGCGAUUACUUCACAACAUAAGCAUUCUAGUAGAAUAAUACUCACAGCUCGUUACCCCAUGACUUAUUCCAAGUAACCUCCACUCGAAUUUCACCAUACUUCCCAGCAAUAUUCUUCUCAGAUGUUCCGUGGAAGAGCGGAGGGAAGUCUGCAGUUCCAUUUGCAAUCUCAUCGUCGGGAGUGAUUGUAUCGUGAUCGUACAAUUCUGCCCUAACACUGAGGGAGUUUUUGGUUGGAACUGCUACUGUCUUCUUCGUCAGUACAAUGCAUUCCCCAGGGCUUACAUUUAUGUACUCCUCUUUCUUCUUACGAAAGAGCAGAGUCUUCUCCCCAGAAGGAUAAUCGCUAUAAGAAGCAGAAAUAUCUCCAUAAACAUCAGCAGGGUUUUCCCCAUCUCCAUUUAUGAGACGAACAGCAAUAGUCGCCUCCACCGCAUCACUUAACACCGUGUAGCAAACUCUUGCAGAACCGUUCUCUCCUUUAACAUCAGCAUAUAAAAUGCUGUCAAAGACAUUGGCGGUGUCGAAAACAUUCCAUGCGAUUUCCCCAUUACUUACUUCAUCAUCCCAACUCACAGCAUCCCUAUCCAAGAGAUGAAGUUUCACAGUGAAGCUAUCAUAAGCUGUGAUAGCUCUACUGGGGCCAGUUAGUAAAAUUUUGUUGCCCGGAUAGAUGGUUUCGUAACUAUCCCGUUGUCGAUCAUAGAUGAACUGACACCCCAGUCCAUCCGCAACCGUGAUUGUGCCGUAGAGCUCGCCGGGGUUCUCGCCGUCGAUGUUGUCGAUGCACACCCAGAACACCUCCACCAUCCGCCGUCCUUGUGGCAAACACAUAUUGUUGUCCUCAGCCGCCAGCAACGUGCGUGGGGGCCUAGGCUUUCCAAAGUUGAAGAAUAGCAAGAUUCCGAGUGCAGCAGCCGCUUCCUCAGCUAUCGUUAUUUGCAUGUCAUUGGGUUGCGGAAGCCGAAAGUAAUGAGUGGCAUCUGCGUCGGCGCGUAGUAAUGCUUCAGAAAGGGUCCCCCAGCCGUGUUCCAGCGCGGUCAUCCAAGUAGGGGGCGGGGAACCGGGGUUAUAUUGGGUAGCCAGAUGCUCGGAGAUACGACUAAAUCUGAUUGAUUCACAUAUCAUUUGAAUCACGACAAUCAAUUGCUUUGCCCUCUCCUGGCGAUCUUCAGUCCAAGCAAGUUGGUUUACAGCAGUUAUGAGCUGAGGCUGGCCGAGGUUUAUGCGAUCUAUCGAUUGUCUGGCAGCAUUUUGUAAGUCAUUGUAACUACCGCCGAAGCCCAGAAAGUUGGAUUCGGGAUGACCACUUCCAAACUGUAACCACUGAUCAGAAUUCUCCAUUUGGUAGCCGUCCAAGUAAAGGUUAUCUCGCCGAAUCCGAAGCUUAAUCUCAUGUUGUUCGGUGUUUUGUAUGGUUUGCAGUACCACCACACAGAACCUCCUGUUGGUAUCAUUAGGAUCAUCAAUUUCAUUAGGAUCAUGAAGCACAGGGCGACCGUGUGAAGACCUACUAGAUGCCAAUUCGUGGCGCAAGGAUUCAAUGAAUUUCUUGUAAGCCACCCAUUCAUGACCUGUACUAACUUCCACCUUAAAUGUGAACUCCAUUAUGUUCUGUUUUUGAGAAAACAUAAGCAAAAAAAAAAAAAAAAAAAAAAAAAACCUUGUUAGAGAAUACAUGGGUUGAAAAAGGACCUAGCAAUGAAUGAAUCACAAUGAUGGAAUUGAGCUUCUAUGUUUUUAAAAGUACAAGUUAUUAGUGCUUGUAGAUUUUUUAUCAUUGGACUAAAAUAUGUAUAGUUAAGAUGAUGUGAGUGAGAUAGUUUAAAAGAUCUAAAUUAUGUUUAAUGAUAUUGAUCGUUGAUUUGAAAGCUUCAUCAUUGAAAAUAAAUCAGUAGUAAUAAAGUCCAUUUAUUACUGAUAGCAUUUCAGCUCAACUCUCUCUUUAUAUAUUUAUAUAAGUUU
rnacentral:lncRNA from 1 species